ensembl:lncRNA
AUUAGAACCACUGUGAGCGCAUGAAUUAGAACCACUGUGAGCGCAUGAAUUAGAACCACUGUGAGCGCAUGAAUUAGAACCACAGCCAGGUGAGCGCAUGAAUUAGAACCACUGUGAGCGCAUGAAUUAGAACCACUGUUCCUUCCCAACGUCUUGACCUUUUCCAUCCUGCAGGUUCUCCAGAAUCUAGCAACGGCCCAUCGCCAUAGAAACCAAGCCACGCCGAGUGGGCGUGACCGACGGCCGGUCGGGAGGCGCUGACACGGAGCCCGGAGGUCGGGCGCAGAGGAUUAUUUUUGAACACGGAUCCGAGUGCUGUUGAGCAGAUAGAAAGAAGAGUUUUAUAUAGCCCUUGUAUAGAUUUGUAUAGGUUUGUUUGUGUGUGUGUGUGAAUGAGAGGAGGGAUGCUGACACAGAAUCGUGAAUUCAUUAUUAUUAUUAAGGGCUGUUGCUUGUUUAGCAUUGUUAGCAUCUGGGCUAAUCAGGUCUUAUCUUAUGUCAUCUGUCCAUCCAAUGCUAGCUGCCCGCUACUGUUACACUGGAGGUGAUUUGCACUAAAUAGCGCUGGCUAGAUGUCAUGGCGCCCAGGUGUACCAGGGGCCAGCGUGCGCUACGCUCGUCAUCGGCUCAUUCCCAUUCCAGUGCACUCUUGUAAACAUUUGUUGGCCUUUUUUAUUUUUACAUUUUAUUUUACAUUUUGUGCCAUAUCUCAAUCCUGUUGGGUCUCCGGUGGUCAUGCUACCACACUCUCCCUGCUAAAGAGAAACAAGUGGGAGAUGAUGAUGAACUGUAACACCAGAUUAUUGUUUUUAUUAAAGGUGCUGUAAAUGUGAGAGCUCAAACGUGAGUGUUAUUUUCAUAGCCAUGGCCGUCCUUCAGCUGAUAGAGGGUGAAACGCUCGUGGACGACAUCUCUUCUAUUUGAUGAUGCUGCUGCCUAGGUAUGAGACUUUCGAUUUCAGUCUCCUCCCUGCUCCAUUCUGACCAAUCAGGACAUCUCUUCCCUGAUUGGUCAACAGGUGCGUCAAAGCAACGCUUCUUAAUGCCGGAGAAAUGAAACCGGGAGAAGGCAGAGAAGGAUGGGGCUUUUUCCGGUUGCUUCUUUUCAAAAUCUGCUUUCUCUUUUUAAAACUUCUGAAGUUUCCCUACAACACCUCUGCUUCUGUAUCCUUUUAAUUUACAUUUCUACAAUGAAUUCCGUCCAUCAUGCCUUCGGGCUGUGUCUGCUUGGAGUUUGUUUCUCUUGGUUGACCAUCGUUAUCCACCAAAGGACCAAGGGUUAGGCUUAUCAUGGCAGACUUGUGCGUGUCUGUGUGUGUGUGUGUGUGUGUGUGUGUGUGGGGGGGGGGACUCCGUUAGUCUGGCUUGUAACUUACUCUGGUCAGCCUGCCCACUGCCUUGAUCAGGAUUAUGUAGAUGAACUGAAAAUGUUUUUUUCUUUUUUUUUUAUGGUUCUCUUUUCCCGGCAAUGAAAUAUGUUGCGUCUGCGUUUCAGGACGUGCGGCUUGAAAUGGGCUCUCGACGCCCAGGUUGGAUACCACUGUUUUAUUUAAUUUAUUUCUUUUAAAUUUGACCUCACGGUUUAAUGUUGUUGCAGCUGUGCGAGUUUAGUGUGUUAUUAAGUAUAUAGAUUGUUAGUUGUACACAUUUGUCCAAAGCAUUCAAACAAACUUUAAAUGUCGAAUGGCUCUAGAGGAUCUUACUUUUGAAAAAUAAAUGUUUUGUAAUACAAAUUGUAGUUAUCGAUUAAUAAUGCGAGUUGAACAAUGUGAAACUAUAAUAACAAGAAAGUUCAGGUAAUCAAAGAAAAUGAUGAAGUACUAACAACCGAGAAAUAUUGUUAAUAUCUCUAAAUACAAACACAAAUACACAAAAUAUAAACUAUGUGCAUGCAGACAUUAUUUUGUGUUUUGCAGUACACGUUAUUCACCACCGGAUUGCGCCGUUGUAUAGCAACAAUUGCACUAAUAGUUUAACUAGUCCACUGCAUUCUUUGACAUUGUUGUUAUAGGGGUUAUUUUGGGAUUAUCCGGCGAACUCCCGCGCAAAUGUUUCGUUUAAUGACGAUUUAUCCAAGAAAGAAAUCGAACCGUCUUACUCAUGGGCAAAAUAUUGGGAUACACACCGCCAACGCGUUGACAAAUGGAGACAUAUUUGGACACAAACACCGCUCCCAGAAGGCCACAGCUACGUGUCUCAAUAAGAAAAAAAUGUCCAGUGUGUGUGCGUACACGCACAAACACAUGCACUGAGACGGGCAUGCUAUUGAGGCAACAGUUAUGCAAAGGGAGGUUGACACACAC